UGCCGGAUCGUCUAACGGUAGGACAUAUGCCUCUGGAGCAUAGUAUCUAGGUUCGAAUCCUAGUCCGGCAGCCA
rnacentral:tRNA from 1 species